AGGACAGAAAUCUCACGUUGAGGAUAAGGCCUAAAGCUCAAUUUACUGUGCCUUUUUGUACUAGGAUCAGUUACGAAAGUAAGGCCUAACGAUCCCUAAAUAGCCUCACGUGCGUGAGGAUUGGGGUGACAGACAAGUUACCUCCGGGACAACUGGCUUGUGGCUGCUAAGAGAUCAAAUCAACGCAGCUUUUUGAUUCUUCGAUGUCGGCUCUUCCUAUCCUAGUGAUGUACAAGUUGCUAAGGGUCGGAUUGUUCACCCGUAUUAGGGAUCGUGAGCUGGGUUUAGACCGUCGUGAGCCAGGUUUGUUUUAUCCUACUGGAUAUAGCAUCAUGAUAGUAGAUUGAUUUAGUACGAGAGGAACUGUUGAUUAUGGCCUCUGGUUAGCGAUUAUCGGAAACGGUAUGUCGCGCAGCUACGCCGUCUGGGAUAAUGGCUGAAAGCCUCUU
rnacentral:ncRNA from 1 species